CACAGAGAACACUGAAAACUCAGUGGAUUCAAAGUCCAUUAAAAAUUUGGAACCAAAGAUCAUACAUGGAAGCAAAUCAAUGGGCUCUGGAAUAUCCUUGGACAACAGUUAUAAAAUGGAUUGUCCCGAAAUGAGUGUAUGUAUUAUAUAAUAAUUAAUGAUAAGAAUAAGUGGAAUCAUAGAGGCACUGGAAUGGCAUCUUGGUCUGGUACAGAUGUCAAUGUGGCAAACCUCAGGGAAACACUCACAAACUUGAAAUAUGAAGUCAGGAAUAAAAAUGAUCUUACAUGUCAAGAAAUUGUGGAAUUGAUGCACAGUGUUUCUUAAGAAGAUCACAGCAAAAGGAGCAGUUUUGUUUGUGUGCUUUGGAGCCAUGGUGAAGAAGGAAUAAUUUUUGGAACAAAUGGACCUGUUGACCAGAAAAAGGUAACAAGUUUUUUCAGAGGGGAUUGUUGUAGAAGUCUAACUGGAAAACCCAAGCUUUUCAUUAUUCAGGCCUGCCAUGGUACAGAACUGGAUUCUGGCAUUGAGACUGACAGUGGUAUUGAUGAUGACAUGGUGUGUCAUAAAAUACCAGUGAAGGCCGAAUUUUUGUAUGCAUAUGAGACA
rnacentral:lncRNA from 1 species